GAGGAGGGCAGCGGAGCAGCUGAACCUCUCCUGCCUCCUGCUGAAAGCCACCUUUCCUCCACAGCUGAGAGGCCUUAGCAAUGGCUCCUUCCCUCUAUCCUGUCCUUGCUUAAAUAGAGAUUCAGCUGCAUUCCAGGCAGGAAGAACCUCUUCCUCAAAGACACUUCACAGGUACGAGAUGCAGCGAUUUGGAGACAUCCUCAAGCAGAGCGAAAUAAAGGACAGAAAAGGCUGUGGAAACCUGACAAGGCCAACAGAGACGAGAGGAGGCAGCAGGGCCAGCGCUGGGCAGGGCAGAAGCUGAAACAGUGAGAAUGGCCCAGAGAGGAGAAAGGCUUUAACCUCAGGAGGACCCCAGCAAAUCAAUAGGCUCCACUAACACACAGCUUCUGUUUCCAAGGCACCAGCUGGAGCGACCUUCUUCAAACAGAAAACUGCAUCCUGUAUGAGGGCACACAAGUGUACGUCACAUAUGCGUAAACGACCUUUCUUUUUUCCUAAAGGAAAGAAAAAAUUUCCAGAACUUGAAUUAUAAAACAAAAAGAAACUCAGAUGGUGUUUCUGGCUCUGCUACUGAAUAGCCUGAUCUUAGGUGCCUGUUCCAGCCCAGCAGUGCCCCGACAGCUGUGCUGAACAACCGCGGUUAUGCCGAGCAGGGAGCUGGGUACGGAAGCCAACGGGGAGACCAUGGGAAGGGAGGAAGGACCAUAUCUAAGGCAACAUCCCUGCCAAAAUAAAUAUACAUCAAUCAAGUACAAAGGCUGGUAUCAAAGCUAUCAAUUCGUGUUACAGCUGACUUCACUUGUAUAACACGUUCUGUCUGCCCUACAGUAACAAACUUGUUUCAAACCAGGAAUAAAUAUUUCAACACAAAUCUGAAUAGGUCAGAGGAGACAUUUCAUAAUCCUAUGAAAGUGACUUGCUAAUGAUGUUGGAAUCUGCAUGAUUGCUAGAUUAAUUUCACAGAUUGAAUAAAACUUUUACAUAGAGAGUGAUACGGCUUCUGUAACUUUUCUACUUUAUACAUACAUUCCACAUAAUGAAAAAUUUUCUGAAAUCAAUCCCUGAACCUGUCACAGCCCUGAGCAUCGGUUUCAGCUGUUUUAAUGACACUGUACAAUUAAACCGUAAGUCUGAGACUGAUAUGCUCAUAAGACACUUAUUUACACAGAUACUGUUGAAAUUAGAAUGGAAAAAGCAACCUUUUAAAAAAUUGAAUACAAAGAAGUCUUCUGUCAAUCCGAUUUACUCAAAUCCUGACUGUACCAUGAAAUCCUGUUAAAUGAAAGGCAAAAACCUCAAGUCUCAUUAAACAAGUAGAAACCUUUUUUUUGCAAAAUAAAAAAAUAAAGUUAAACUUGAAACUGACUUCUUCCUGACAGGUGUUCCUGCUUUAACCCAUCACAAAGUACAUGCAGCCAUAGCCGAGGUUUUCAAGUGGUUCUGCUGUUUUCCAAAUGGACACCAUCAAAACAUUUCUACACUUCAGUGAAGACACUUAAUAUACACUCGUUUGGUUGCUCAAAAUUUAAGACAUCCUCGAUCACUAUAAGCUCCAUCAAAGUGAAAAUGCGUAACCAGGACAAAAAUGAGAAUUUAUGAUUGACGAUUAACUUUUUGCUUUCAGCCUGAACUAUGGUUUGGUGGUUGGUUGUUUCCUGGGGUUUUUUUGCUUGUUUUCCUUGCUUAUUCCUUCUAACAAUUGACAGGUAAUCACACCAGUUAUGCCUCUGAGCAGGUACUGUCCUAUUACUGUUUUAGACAGGAGUUCUGUUUCCCAAUCUAUCCUUUCAAAAAGGAAAUCCAAGUGUUCUCUGAGUUCCAUGAUGCUUACAAAAUACACUUUCUAUUUUUCUUCCUUAACUUCCCUUUGCUUAAAGGUUUCAAAUCCAGGAGAGGUCUGUCAGGAGCCCAGUUCACUGAAAUAAUAUAGCAAGUUGUCAAGUACUUGAGCACAUUUCUACCAAACAAUCAAAACACAGUUACAUUACAGCUGGAAGAUGACGGCAUUUGCAAGAACAUAUUUGCUUCUCAGAGGAAAAAGCCUUGCUCUUAACAGCACCUACCUGGUAACUGUUUCAUUUUAUAACCACCUAGAAGCCUGCCUUCUAAUCUCAUUUCAAGGGCUCCAUCAUACCACAAGCCAGCAUUGUGCCAACAGCACUUUGGGGAAUAAGACACUGCUACUGACAUAACCCAUUACAAUGAUUACAAAUACAUUAAGGCAGUGAAGAAAUUCAUGUCAUACUUCUGUCAUCACUGUGGCCCUGGGUGUGCUAAGCUACUCAUCAGGUUGUGCUUAAGCAGAAAUUCUAAAUUCCUAAAAAGUGGUAAUUUUAAUUCUUAUACAGGCUGCUAGAAGAAACUCCGAAUUUACCAGUUUAUGUUCAAAUAUCAACUUAUAAAUUCACAUGUAAAGUGUGCAGGCAUAAAAUGCACAUAUCUUUGAUGAACAUUUAGGUGACAUAUGACCUCAGCUAAUUAAAUACUUAGUGCUGUGCUCCCUCAUAUUAUAGGAAACUUCUGUUCCACAGCAAGCACAGCAUGGUGACAGACAGACUCUUCCUAAAUGUAGGACUGUGCUCACCUCCACUCCCUGCUCUGAGUAGUCUCCUACAGAUUACACACUAGCUCAGUGUAGGAUCAAGGUCAGCAGAGUUGGGAGAACCUGUUCAGACUGAUAUCUUUAGUACCUUAUUUCACUUGGUUUAUUCUGGACUAUGUAGUGAAAUUAAGGAUUCACAAUUUAUGAGUCUUCCCCCAUUAGCAAUAUUUAAUUAUUAUUGUUUUCAUAGCAGGUAUUUAACACUCCAAGACUAUUACGAAAAUUUUCUCCCCACAGCAGAGUUUGAUGUUUUCAGUUUUAAUUAAAAUAACAUAAAAAAAAUCCUCCAUGAAAAAAAAAUCCGACUCGAAACAAAAAAACCCCAAAAUUCCCAAAAACAUUUAACUGUAUAAACCCAGGAAAACUAAUGUUAGCAUACCUGGGCUAUACACUGAAAUCUUAAAUUAGUUUAAAACCUUUUCCUUUAUGCAUCCUCUCCCACUGUUAUUACUCACUAACUAUCCCCUUAGUGCUGGACAGAAGUUGUCUCCUAUCUAACCCUCCAAAGCUGAGCAGGGUCAGCCCACACCUCCCUUGGCUCUCCCCCUGCGCCUGUAGGAGCACUGCUGGCAGGAGCUCUGAGGCCUGGGAACAGCAUCCCUCCCGGAGUGCCUGGCACAGCCCUCGGAGAUGUGUAAUGCUUUUGGUUUACAGUCUGUGUUUAUUCCACCCCCACACGUUUUUAGUUUGCUCCGAAGAUGCUGUGAAUGGCUCCACAGCUGGGAGUGUCUAACGCAGGUGUGUGCAGGGCUCUGCUCCCCCAAACCCACGUGUGGUGGGGGGCACGGCCCACCUUCCCCUGCACAGGUAACAAGUGCACCAUCCAUCUGCUAACAGUGCUGAUAGAGGCAGAGGAACUCACAUUACUCUUCAGAGUCAUUAAAAAAACUUUUCAAACAACAGCUCGAGUGUCUUCUGUAUGUUCAUCUAUUACUGAUUCCUGUGGCUUUACAUGCUUUAUUUUGCAGUAAGUUUUCACCAAGUGUUCUCUGCUUUCCCACAGCAUUGUGGAGCAGCAGUGUCUGGACCUGCAUUCAAAGGAAGAACGUGGCUCUGUGUAAUUCACUGUGGCUCAGACAGCAUCAUCCAUUUUGCCUUACUCACUGCAAUUUUAUCCUCAGAGAAUAGAAAUGGAGGAAAACAGAACAGCAGUUAGAAUAUAACCAAUUUGUAUUUGCUGCAGUUUGGAUGUCUACCUGUCACGAGUUCAUGUUGGUGUGAAUGUGGGUACUUUCUCCGUGCCUGUGGGUUAUUUUGUCUGUUUUUUCUGCUGGGGGAUGGUUUUGGGUUUUGCUUCUUUUUGAAGUUUUUGUGUGUGUGUUGUUUCAGUUUUAGUUUUUUUUAAACAGUAAAACCUCCCAGGUCAAAAGAA